rnacentral:rRNA from 1 species
AAUCGGAAUUACUGGGCGUAAAGCGUGCGCAGGCGGUUUUGUAAGUCUGUCGUGAAAUCCCCGGGCUCAACCUGGGAAUUGCGAUGGAGACUGCAAGGCUAGAAUCUGACAGAGGGGGGUAGAAUUCCACGUGUAGCAGUGAAAUGCGUAGAGAUGUGGAGGAACACCGAUGGCGAAGGCAGCCCCCUGGGUCAAGAUUGACGCUCAUGCACGAAAGCGUGGGGAGCAAACAGGAUUAGAUACCCUGGUAGUCCACGCCCUAAACGAUGUCUACUAGUUGUCGGGUCUUAAUUGACUUGGUAACGCAGCUAACGCGUGAAGUAGACCGCCUGGGGAGUACGGUCGCAAGAUUAAAACUCAAAGGAAUUGACGGGGACCCGCACAAGCGGUGGAUGAUGUGGAUUAAUUCGAUGCAACGCGAAAAACCUUACCUACCCUUGACAUGUACGGAAGCCACGAGAGAUCGAGGUGUGCUCGAAAGAGAGCCGUAACACACGUGCUGCAUGGCUGUCGUCAGCUCGUGUCGUGAG